AUGGGUGACUAGUGGCAGAGUGAGGGAGGGAAGAGAUGACUAUUGGCAAAGUGAGGGAGGGAAGGGGUGACUAGUGACAGAGUGAGGGGAUGACUGGUGACAGAGUCACCCCAUCCUUCUCUCUGUCACUAGUCACUCCCUCCCUAACCCUGUCACUGUGUCACCCCCUCCCUCCCUCUGUCACUAGUCACCCCCUCCCUCACUGUCACUAAUCACCCCCUUCCUCACUCUGUCACUAGUCACCCCAU